GCCAGACUCCUACGGGAGGCAGCAGUGGGGGAUAUUGCACAAUGGGGGGAACCCUGAUGCAGCGACGCCGCGUGGGUGAAGGAGCGUUUCGGCGCGUAAAGCCCUAUCGGCAGGGAAGAAGGAGGACGGUACCUGACUAAGAAGCCCCGGCUAACUACGUGCCAGCAGCCGCGGUAAUACGUAGGGGGCAAGCGUUAUCCGGAUUUACUGGGUGUAAAGGGGGCGCAGACGGCGAUGCAAGCCAGGAGUGAAAGCCCGGGGCCCAACCCCGGGACUGCUCUUGGAACUGCGUGGCUGGAGUGCAGGAGGGGCAGGCGGAAUUCCUGGUGUAGCGGUGAAAUGCGUAGAUAUCAGGAGGAACACCGGUGGUGAAGGCGGCCUGCUGGACUGCAACUGACGUUGAGGCCCGAAAGCGUGGGGAGCAAACAGGAUUAGAUACCCCAGUAC
rnacentral:rRNA from 1 species